rnacentral:rRNA from 1 species
UACGGGGGGGGCAAGCGUUGUUCGGAAUUACUGGGCGUAAAGGGCUCGUAGGCGGCCAACUAAGUCAGACGUGAAAUCCCUCGGCUUAACCGGGGAACUGCAUCUGAUACUGGAUGGCUUGAGUUCGGGAGAGGGAUGCGGAAUUCCAGGUGUAGCGGUGAAAUGCGUAGAUAUCUGGAGGAACACCAGGUGGCGAAGGCGGCUCC